AAGCAGACUUUCAGUAAAAUUUGAACAAAUGCAUUCCCUCCCCUUGUUUGCAGCUUCUGUUCUCUGACCGAUUUCCUUUGGUGGUGAUUUAGUUUUUCCAGAGUGUGCAUGUUCACUCACCUUCAUGUUUCUUCUUGCCCACAGCGAGCCCUGUUUCCCUGUGCAGUGCCUGUUCAGUGGGGGAUGUGGAUUUUGAAUUAUCUGCUCUCCUUAUGUGAAGAGAUUUGUCCCUGCUCUGUAUAAAUGUGCUUCUGCUUGUUCCUUGCUUUCUUUUUUCAGCCAGGAGCUGGAGCAGCUCGUUGCUGUCUGUGAGCCUUUGUAACCAAUUGCAAAGCACCUUCAAAGCACACUCAAAUCUCGUCAGCACCGCAGCUCUUUGUGAGGCGCCCCAGGACAGGACAGAAGAUGCUCCUGCAGGAGUGCAUGAGGUCAUUUAAUCCGUGUGCUGCCUUCUGAAGGGUGCCCGACCCUCUGAGGGGUGGGCUGAGGUGUCGCUGCUUCCCAGGAUAUUCCUGUCUCCAUUUUAACCAGCUCCUCGUUUGAAGUGCUUUCCUGAAGUCCAGGCUGAUGAGAAAAGUGAUUCCUCUAAAUACAGGAUUCCAGGUGUUUGAAGAUGCUUGUAAAUCAUCCCAGCAGGAAGGCUGAGCAUCAGAGCAUUCUCAUGGCUCUGGGGAGGAGGGAGCUUGGGAAGGAAUCCUAACGCAGAGACAAGAAGUGAAGAGCUACAGUCCAACCUCAGCUGAGGGGUGCAGAGAGCCCUGAGCAUGAGACUUGCUGCAGAUCUGGAGGAAGAUGGAUGUGUUCCAUCUCCACCCAGCUGGGGCUGCCUCAGGAUGGAGCCAGCCCUGCCCUUGGCAUGGGGAAACAGAGAGGGGAUUUCAUUAGCAUUAAUGGACUGGCCAAGGAAGAGCUCUGCGUGCUGACAAGAUAAUGCACAGCUUUAAUAUAGCAAAUUCCUGCUGCUGCUGGGGGCUGCCCAGCUACAACAUUCAGUUUCACUGUGUAAAAUGAGUCCUGAGGAAGGUGUGGGUGAGAUGCUGUUCCCUGUUUCCAUCAAAGCACCCACUUCUCUGACAAGGACCAGACUUCCCACCUCCCUUUUUCAAAUGAUUGCUCAGACUCCUGAUGCUGAGCAGAAAACAUUUAAGCUGUUAUUUCAAAUGAACAUUUAUAGGUGGUGUCUUUCCCCUUUCCCAGAGCAGAGUAUUAAUGACAUUGGAGGACUCAAGAACCUGUCUGGAAGGGAUUCUGGAUGGAGAAGAGGUGCAAACCCAGAACAGCCAGAUGUUCUUCUAAAAUGGAGGAGUUAAAAAACCAAGCUCAAAAGGACAAAGAAAGGGAAAAAAAAGGAGAAAUUUAGAUUGUGGAAAAUGAGAAGCUGCUUAUCAGGGGAAAUGUGGGUGUGUGAUGCCAGGGUGGGGCAGUUUUCUCUCCAGUUCCUCUGCUUCCUCUGAGGUGGUUUGACUUUAGAAAUACAUAAAAGAAAGGUGACUUG